ACUACCAGUCAUGCCUUGUUUCUUGUAACUGUUCCAUCUUCAUCUAGUUUGUUCAUGAAGGCCCGUUUUGUCCCAAUGACUGAUCUAUCCUUGGGUCUUGGAACCAAAUGCCAGACUUGAAUUCUCUCAAAUCAAUUUUGUUCAUCCUGUAUAGCAUUGACCCAAUCUGCAUCCUGUAAGGCCUCAACAACAUUUUUGGGUUAAAUGAUGGAUAGAAAGGUAUCAAAUGCACACAUAUUCUUCAGUUGAGAUCUAGUUCUGACUCUAGAUGUUAGAUCAUUGAUGAUGUUCUCAAUAGGAUGAGAACUCAGGUACUUGUAAGAUUUCCCCACUAGCUGGUCCCUGCUAGAUGCUUCUUCAUUGUUAUGUUGCCGAGGAACAGGUUCAGGUACAGGCUCCUUUAGAGAGUUUUGUUCAAUUUCUCUCAUAUUGGUUCCCCCUGUCAGGUUGCCUGAGUGGAAGGGCCUAUUCCAUCACCUGUUCCUUCCUUUGAUGCCACUUUGACUUGUGAUGUGGCUUAAGUCAAUUGUUUCACCAAUCCAAUGGCUUCAUCUUCAUGUUUCUGUCUCUCAGAAAGAAUGUUAGAUUCAUCAAAUACAAUAUGUACACUUUCUUCUACACACAGAGUUUUUUUAUUAAACAAUUUAUAUGCUUUGCUAUGUGAAGAAUAUUCCAAGAAUACUCCAUCAUCACUUCUGGGAUCAAACUUACCUAGGGAGUUGUUGCCAUUAUUUUGCACAUAGCAUUUGCAACCAAAAGCCCUAAUAUCAGAUAUGUUUGGUUUUUUCCCUUUAAGUAUCUCAUAGGGAGUUUUCUCUGUGAGAGGUCUAGUCAUGCAUCUAUUGAUUAUGUAGCAUGCAAUGUGUAUAGCCUCUGCCCAGAAGCUAUGAGGUAGUUUACUAGAAAGAAGCACGGUCCUUGACAUAUCCUCAAGGGUCAUGUUCUUCCUUUCAACUACCCCAUUUUGUUGAGGGGCCGUAAGAGCAGAGAAGUUAUGAUCUAUUUCAGUUUCAUCAUAGAAUUUACCAAACAUUUCAUUUUCAAAUUUAUUUCUAUGAUCAGACCUAAUGGAGGCAAGUUGAUUUCCUAACUGUUUUUGGGUUUUUCUAACAACAGCAGUGAGCAUUUCAAAUGCUUCAUCAUUAGAGGUUAGAAACAUCACCCAGGUAAAUCUAGAAUAAUCAUCAACAAGCACCAUUACAUAUCUUUUUCCACCUCUGCUCAUGGUUCUCAUUGGACCACACAGAUCCAUAUGAACCAGCACCAUUACAUUCCUCACAAACUUUGUCUUCCUUAAACUUGAUAUUAGGUAACCCUAUCACCAAGUCUUUGGAGAAGGAUGACAUUACCUUCUCCCCCCUUGCACAUGCCUCGCAAACUUUGUCUUCCUUAAACUUGAUAUUAGGUAACCCUAUCACCAAUUCUUUGGAGACUAAUUUGUUCAAUUGAUUUAGACUGGCAUGACCAAGUCUUUUGUGCCAGAGGAGGGGAUCAUUAAUUAACACACUUAAACAAGUGACUUCAUUUUCAGAGAGAUUUGACAAAUCUACAAUGUAAAUAUUGUUAACUCUCUAUCCCUGCAAAACAAUCUUGUCAGUAGUAAGGCUAAUCACAAAGCAUUUGGUAGAAGUGAAAGCUACAAGGUUACCUCUGUCACAUUGUUGUGACACACUUAUCAGGCUAUAUUUCAAGCCAUCUAUCAAAUAGACAUUCUCAAUGGAAUGAGAGUCUGUCUUUCCUACCUUUCCAGCCCCAAUGAUAUCAUAUUUUUUUUCCAUUUUCAAAGGAGACAUUACCUCCUUUUAAGUUCUCAACUCAAAGGAACUGGUCCUUGUUCUCAGUCAUAUGUUUUGAGCAACCACUAUCUAUGUACCAUAUUUGGAUACUCCCCUUCACUUGGACCUGCAAAAUAAAAUCAUGGGUUAGUCUUAGGAACCCAAACUAGUUUGGGUCCCUUUCUAUGUGCAAAAGGAUGAAUUAAAUUUUUUCCCCUAACCAGGCACUUUUUAUUUUUCUUGGAUAAAGGCUUUGUUCUUUUGACUGGCCUUUUCUUUUGUAUUGUAUUCAUUUUUGUAAUAGCCAUUCUUACCAUAGUGUGUGCAGAUCUUAUUUUCAGGAAGUGUGAGGUACUUUUUUUAGGAUCCCAUUUUGGAGCUUGUAUCCCAAAUCCAAGUCCUCUCUUAUUGCUGUUGUGAUGUUUUUGCAGCCAGGAGAGUGCAUCAGAAGCCUUGUUCUAUUUGCAUGUUUUGUCUAGUUCAUGCUUUACAUUUCCUAAAUCUUCUUUUAUGACCUUAAUCAAUUCUUCUUUCUUAUACAGUUCAUCUUUUAUUUUUCCUAGAUUUUCUUCUAGAGUGAGAAAUGAUUGAUCAGCCAUUUUCUUUCCUGCCCCUAAUUUCAAUUUAAUAUUUUCAGAUCUAAGUUCUAGGACAUUAUUUUCAAGUUGAAGAACCUGGUUCUUCAACUCAGUAUUUGUGUUGUCACUCUCAUCAGCUGUAGACUCUAACCUUUUGCACUUUGCUUCUAGGAUAACACAUUCCUUAGACAGACAUUCUUCUCACUGUUUAUUAUUUCAGACUCAUCAAUGAAGUCCAAUAAUAUCUCAGCCAACCUUUCUUUAGACAAAAACUUGAUCUUUUCUUUAAGAUGUAGGAUACUUACCUCCUGUUCAUCCACUGAUUCUCUGAUGGCCAUAAGAGCUUUCUCAUUUUCAGCUUCAUAUUUUGAGUCCUCAUCUGAGGUUUCUCCCCAUGUAGAACCAGAACUUUAGUUGAACCUUUACUUCUUCUUGGUUGGACCUGUUCCUUCUUCCUAUUUCUCCGUUCAGCUCUUUCUUUCUUCCACUCAAUCUCCCAUUG
rnacentral:lncRNA from 1 species